rnacentral:rRNA from 1 species
UGCCAGACUCCUACGGGAGGCAGCAGUGGGGGAUAUUGCACAAUGGGGGGAACCCUGAUGCAGCGACGCCGCGUGAGGGAAGAAGGUUUUCGGAUUGUAAACCUCUGUCUUCGGUGACGAAACGAGACGGUAGCCGAGGAGGAAGCCACGGCUAACUACGUGCCAGCAGCCGCGGUAAUACGUAGGUGGCAAGCGUUGUCCGGAAUUACUGGGUGUAAAGGGAGCGUAGGCGGGGAUGCAAGUUGGGUGUCAAAACUACCGGCUCAACCGAUAGUCGCACUCAAAACUGCAGCUCUUGAGUGAAGUAGAGGCAGGCGGAAUUCCUAGUGUAGCGGUGAAAUGCGUAGAUAUUAGGAGGAACACCAGUGGCGAAGGCGGCCUGCUGGGCUUUUACUGACGCUGAGGCUCGAAAGUGUGGGGAGCAAACAGGAUUAGAUACCCGCGUAC